GGCUCGGAUUGAAUCUGGCGGAAGCAUGACUUCAUGUCAGCCUUUUUUUUUUUGUCUGUGCCAAGCAUUUUGUUAAUAUCCUGGAUUGUCAGGGUGCUGUGUUGUGGUUGAACCUACUACACCAUCUGACAGAACAACACUGUUGUUAGAUUUACAUACAGGAAAUCCAACUGCCUCUUGCUGUUGUGCCAGGACUCUUUCUCCACGAGCACCCAAAGAGGAAAGGUGUGACACAGCUGAUCCUGGACCAGCUGACUGGAGGGGCUGUGGUGUUGAAGCAGCCACCUCAGACUCCUCUCUACUCCCUGCCUGGUCAAGGACUGGGAUCCUGUUUCAGCUGAGGGGAGAGUCUGUGUGUCUGCAACAGGCUGCUCCGCCAACGCUCAGGUUACGCUGAGGAGGUUCAACAUGGACUCCAGGAUACUCUGCGACUUCUACAGGUGCACCAUGAAGAGUAUCACCGUCUGGUAGUUCCAGGCUCUACAGAGGGUUUAAGGACGUGUUGUGCAGCUGGAACGUGGGGCAGAUGCUCCUGGUGGAAAUCAGGGGACAUGGCAUGGAUGACAACCGCAUCACUCGGAGCAUUUCUCUGUGUAAGAGAAUUGUCAGCAAGUUCUCUUACAGCUGGAGAACAAGAAGAGAGCUGGCUCAAGUCCAGAUUCAGCUGGGUCUGCCGGCUCGCCAGCUCAUCACAAAGUCAGCCAGCCGCUGGGGACCAAGGCAGCAAAUGAUGGACAGGGUCCUGGAGCAGGAGGGAACACUCUCAAAAGUCCUGUCUCCUUACAAAAAGUCCAGGCAUAAUGGGGGAAAUGAACAAAAUUGAGAUUGUAGCUUAUUACAUUAGUCUGAGGGAUUUUAGCUGAGGGACAGAAGAUCAAAGUGUCAUAUUAUCAAAAUGUCAUGUUUUCCUGACAAAUGGUUAGGAGACAGCAACAGGGGGGGCAGUUCUUCUACACCAGAGAUCUUCAACCGUGGGUCCGCGACCCCUAAGGAGUCCUUUUACUGUAGGGGGGCCGCCUGAUUAUUGUUUGAUCAUGUUUUUUUUCAAAGAUUUAAAUUUGUCUAAAAAUAUACAUUAACAUGAAUCUAACAUUAUUAGCAAAGUCUUUUUGCUAAAAAGAACAUUUCAUUUACACAAUAAUUAUGAUAGGCUUACUAUAGGUUAGACAAGAUGCCUAGACAAGAGAUGGCCUUCCUCCAGGCAGAGGCAAGAGAAACCGAAAGGCUUCAGAGUGGUUUUCACGAAACCAGAAGAAACUAGAGAGCUCUGUGACGCCGCAUGGUGCUCCGCAUGGUGCUCCGCAUGGUGCUCCAUCGUGUCAGCGGUAGUUGAUGGUCCAGUUACCCGAGAAUAGGUGACUUUGAGCCGGGUACAUAGCACCACGAGAUGCCGAUCGUUUCGGAGGACAUUGCGGUUAAGUUUCGGUGACAAAAACUGAGCGACAUGCAGCAACGAAAGUUAAGUUUAGGCACCAAAACCACUAGUUACAUUUAGGAAAAAGAUCGUGGUUUGGAUUAAAACACUCCCAAGGAACACACCUUUUAGUCAAUACUUGAAUACUUACGAAUCAUUAAUAAUUUGUGAGUACACACAAACACAUACACUCACACAGAAUAAGAAGAGUAAAAGUAAAUUGUGACAAAUUUUGCAGCUUUAGGAAAAGUAUAGAUAAUGAGUUAGUGUUUGAUGUGUAGCUUGGGUUGUGUUUGUAGGUUUCAUUUUGGCAUAAAUAUGAAUUUAGCAACAGACGUCCGGGGUGUCCCGGAUGUCCCAUUGAGGGGCAUGUCGGUGGAGGAUAUGUAUUCAAAGAACUGGAGUUACAUAUUGUAACUACUCAAUUUGCCACUUGCCAGAUGUACGUACAUUUGGGAAUGUAGCGUUAUCAGCGCCAUGGCCAACCCGCAGAAAGCGCACGCUGUGAUACUUAAGCUUACGUCGUAUUUACCAAACCUGCAGCUCAUCGGGUAAUCAGCGCCUUUCCCGCCCACUAUACCGUAAAUUGCGCACAUCUUUCUGUCAUGGAUCAAACACCAAGUCAGUCAAAACAGCGAAAACAAAGAUUUAGAGAUAACAAAGUUGAUCUGCUUGUUUAUGAAGUAACAGCUUGAUGUGUGUUAUUUUGGCAUUAGUGGUGGGGAAAAGUAUGUAUUGACUAGUGCGCUGUAGCAAAGCAUUAAGUACUGGUGCUAUGAUAGGGCUGAGUGCAGACUGCGAUAUUCCCACUGCUGAUGCUAUGACUGUUUGAAAUGAUCCUGAUGCCAAUAUCUGUAAUGUAGCGAGGAGUUUAACAACUGCUGGAAUGGAAUGUGAACUCUGAGUCUGAGAUCAAAUGUUAUCUUUGAUUUCUUCCAGUAACUGUAAUAUUGCAUGGCUGCUUAAUCUGUAACGCUUAAUGAUUUUGUGUUCACUCAACAAAAAAAGUGUGAUCCUUAGCUCGUCUCCUUGGCCUAUGUCUCCGUCUUGCUGGGAUUACCGCUGCCAUUUCACCAGGAGGCAUAUGCGAGGAAACCUGCUUGUGGCUGGUUUACACCUGCUUUUAAGAGGCGGAGAAUUUUCACCACAAAAUAGAGGCGCGCUUUCACGGGCGUUUUUUGUACAUACCGCACAAUACAUAAUAAAUAACAACACGUUACGCUUCUCCUCCCAUCUCUUUAUGGUAGGGUGACCAGAUUUCCCGGAGCUA